UACAUGCAAGUCGAGCGAAUGGAUUAAGAGCUUGCUCUUAUGAAGUUAGCGGCGGACGGGUGAGUAACACGUGGGUAACCUGCCCAUAAGACUGGGAUAACUCCGGGAAACCGGGGCUAAUACCGGAUAACAUUUUGAACCGCAUGGUUCGAAAUUGAAAGGCGGCUUCGGCUGUCACUUAUGGAUGGACCCGCGUCGCAUUAGCUAGUUGGUGAGGUAACGGCUCACCAAGGCAACGAUGCGUAGCCGACCNUGAGAGGGUGAUCGGCCACACUGGGACUGAGACACGGCCCAGACUCCUACGGGAGGNCAGCAGUAGGGAAUCUUCCGCAAUGGACGAAAGUCUGACGGGAGCAACGCCGCGUGAGUGAUGAAGGCUUUCGGGUCGUAAAACUCUGUUGUUAGGGAAGAACAAGUGCUAGUUGAAUAAGCUGGCACCUUGACGGUACCUAACCAGAAAGCCACGGCUAACUACGUGCCAGCAGCCGCGGUAAUACGUAGGUGGCAAGCGUUAUCCGGAAUUAUUGGGCGUAAAGCGCGCGCAGGUGGUUUCUUAAGUCUGAUGUGAAAGCCCACGGCUCAACCGUGGAGGGUCAUUGGAAACUGGGAGACUUGAGUGCAGAAGAGGAAAGUGGAAUUCCAUGUGUAGCGGUGAAAUGCGUAGAGAUAUGGAGGAACACCAGUGGCGAAGGCGACUUUCUGGUCUGUAACUGACACUGAGGCGCGAAAGCGUGGGGAGCCAACAGGCUUAGAU
rnacentral:rRNA from 1 species